rnacentral:rRNA from 1 species
ACGAACGCUGGCGGCGUGGAUAAGACAUGCAAGUCGAACGGGAGAAUUGCUAGCUUGCUAAUAAUUCUCUAGUGGCGCACGGGUGAGUAACACGUGAGUAACCUGCCUCUUAGUGGGGGAUAGCCCUGGGAAACCGGGAUUAAUACCGCAUACGAUUGAAAGAUCAAAGCAGCAAUGCGCUAGGAGAUGGGCUCGCGGCCUAUUAGUUAGUUGGUGAGGUAACGGCUCACCAAGGCGAUGACGGGUAGCCGGUCUGAGAGGAUGUCCGGCCACACUGGAACUGAGACACGGUCCAGACACCUACGGGUGGCAGCAGUCGAGAAUCAUUCACAAUGGGGGCAACCCUGAUGGUGCGACGCCGCGUGGGGGAAUGAAGGUCUUCGGAUUGUAAACCCCUGUCAUGUGGGAGCAAAUUAAAAAGAUAGUACCACAAGAGGAAGAGACGGCUAACUCUGUGCCAGCAGCCGCGGUAAUACAGAGGUCUCAAGCGUUGUUCGGAAUCACUGGGCGUAAAGCGUGCGUAGGCUGUUUCGUAAGUCGUGUGUGAAAGGCAGGGGCUCAACCCCUGGAUUGCACAUGAUACUGCGAGACUAGAGUAAUGGAGGGGGAACCGGAAUUCUCGGUGUAGCAGUGAAAUGCGUAGAUAUCGAGAGGAACACUCGUGGCGUAGGCGGGUUCCUGGACAUUAACUGACGCUGAGGCACGAAGGCCAGGGGAGCGAAAGGGAUUAGAUACCCCUGUAGUCCUGGCAGUAAACGGUGCACGCUUGGUGUGCGGGGAAUCGACCCCCUGCGUGCCGGAGCUAACGCGUUAAGCGUGCCGCCUGGGGAGUACGGUCGCAAGAUUAAAACUCAAAGAAAUUGACGGGGACCCGCACAAGCGGUGGAGUAUGUGGCUUAAUUCGAUGCAACGCGAAGAACCUUACCUGGGCUUGACAUGUAAUGAACAACAUGUGAAAGCAUGCGACUCUUCGGAGGCGUUACACAGGUGCUGCAUGGCCGUCGUCAGCUCGUGUCGUGAGAUGUUUGGUUAAGUCCAGCAACGAGCGCAACCCCUGUUGCCAGUUACCAGCACGUCAAGGUGGGGACUCUGGCGAGACUGCCCAGAUCAACUGGGAGGAAGGUGGGGACGACGUCAGGUCAGUAUGGCCCUUAUGCCCAGGGCUGCACACGUACUACAAUGCCCAGUACAGAGGGGGCCGAAGCCGCGAGGCGGAGGAAAUCCUGAAAACUGGGCCCAGUUCGGACUGUAGGCUGCAACCCGCCUACACGAAGCCGGAAUCGCUAGUAAUGGCGCAUCAGCUACGGCGCCGUGAAUACGUUCCCGGGUCUUGUACACACCGCCCGUCACAUCAUGGAAGCCGGUCGCACCCGAAGUAUCUGAAGCCAACCGCAAGGAGGCAGGGUCCUAAGGUGAGACUGGUAACUGGGAUG